rnacentral:rRNA from 1 species
AGCCCAGACCGCCAGCUAAGGUCCCUAAUUAUGUCUAAGUGGGAAAGGAGGUGGAUAUUCACAGACAACCAGGAGGUUGGCUUAGAAGCAGCCAUACCUUGAAAGAGUGCGUAAUAGCUCACUGGUCGAGAGUAUCUGCGCCGAAGAUAUAACGGGGCUAAGACAUGAACCGAAGCUGCGGAAUUAGAUUAAACUAAUUGGUAGGAGAGCGUUCUGUAGGCUGUAGAAGGAGUGCUGUAAGGCAUUCUGGAGGCAUCAGAAGUGAGAAUGCAGGAAUGAGUAGCGAGAAGGAGGGUGAGAAUCCCUCCGGCCGGAAGUCCAAGGUUUCCAGGGGAAGGUUUGUCCGCCCUGGGGGAGUCGGGACCUAAGCAUAAGCAGAGCUGCGAAGGCGAAUGGAAAACAGGUUAAUAUUCCUGUACCACUGCAAUCGUUUGAGAGAUGGAGUGACGCAGGGAGGUAUGUGAGAAGGCUGACGGAAUAGCCUUUCUAAGGGCUUAGCAUGGACAUGUAGGCAAAUCCGCAUGUUUAAAUGUGAGACCUGAUGGGGAAGUGUCCUAGGGACAUAAGUCACAGAUCCUGCACUGCCGAGAAAAACUUCUAUUAAGAGAAGCAGUGCCCGUACUGUAAACCGACACAGGUGGACAGAGUGAGAAACUUAAGGCCGACAGGAUAACUCUAGCUAAGGAACUCUGCAAAAUAGCCCCGUAACUUCGGGAGAAGGGGUGCCUGACAUACCUGAGAGGAGAAGCGCCUCAAGGGGAAACAGGCCGCAGUGAAGAGUCCCAAGCAACUGUUUACCAAAAACACAGGUCUAUGCUAAGCUGAAAGGCGACGUAUAUGGGCUGACACCUGCCCAGUGCCGGAAGGUUAAGGGGAGGACUGAGAGGUCCGAGCUGAAGCCCCGGUGAACGGCGGCCGUAACUAUAACGGUCCUAAGGUAGCGAAAUUCCUUGUCGGGUAAGUUCCGACCUGCACGAAUGGUGAAAUGAUUUGGGAGCUGUCUUGGCCGGAGACCUGGUGAAGUUGUAAUGCCGGUGAAGAUACCGGUUACCUGCAGUAGGACGGAAAGACCCCGUGGAGCUUUACUGUAGCUUGGCAUUGGGUUUUGGCAAUGUGUGUAUAGGAUAGCUGGGAGGCUAAGAUAUCAAGGCGUCAGUUUUGAAGGAGCCGCUGUUGGAAUACCAGCCAUAUAUUGUUGAAAUUCUAAUCUCAUGAGAUGGGAGACAGUGCCAGGUGGGCAGUUUGACUGGGGCGGUCGCCUCCAAAAGAGUAACGGAGGCGUUCAAAGGUUCCCUCAGGCUGGAUGGAAAUCAGCCGGAGAGUGCAAACGCAAAAGGGAGCUUGACUGCGAGACUGACGGGUCGAGCAGGCACGAAAGUGGGAGUUAGUGAUCCGGCGGUGCUGAAUGGAAAGGCCGUCGCUCAACGGAUAAAAGCUACCCCGGGGAUAACAGGCUGAUACUUCCCAAG